rnacentral:tmRNA from 1 species
GGGGUAGUACUGGUUUCGACAGGGGCCAUGCAGCUGGUGAAGCUAUCCGCAUGCAAUGCGUUAAAUGGCAAACCUAAAUAUAAACGCUAACAAUAGAGAAUUAGCAUACGCUGCCUAAUGGCGGCUGUCAGACUUAGAGCACUCACACUUUAAGACCCUGGCAUCGACGAUGUGAGAAACGACGCACGUUAAGCUUUGCGCGUGCGGGCGUAUUAUGAAGCUACUGAAGCAUCAAGGGUGUUCGUUCCCGUGAUGCGGAGGGAAUGUCAAAGAACGGACUAUGAUAGUAGAAGAACAGGGAAUUGGUUUUUGGACACGGGUUCAAAUCCCGUCUACUCCACU